rnacentral:misc_RNA from 1 species
GCUAAUUUUAUUGGUAUUGAGCCAAAAAGACCUUUUAGGUAAAUAUAGAAGUACUUUUCUCCUUUACUUGCUUCCUUUGAUUGUAACUAGGUUAGACUCAAAUCCAUAAGUUUAGUUAUCACUUGACAUUGUAUAGGAUUACUAUUUACUUAGGAUUGGCAUUUUUUCUGGCUCUGUCUACAAGGGUUUUCUCGAUUAGGUUGGAUAUUGCAUGCAAGCCAUAAGUCUUGAGAAGGAAGGUAUAUGCUAUAUUUGGUUUGCUAUUUGUGUUCGAAUUUUGAAGUUGUUGUGUUAAGCUAGGGGCAUGAGCAUCUUUCUCCUCUGCUCGUUGGUGAUUGGGCAGGUAGAGCACGAGUGGGAUGCUUGACGAUCGAAGUUAUCAUUGUCUUUCAAUUGUUAAUGGUGCAAAAUGUUUCUAUUGGGAUUCUGCAAUUGGCUUUUCAUCUCCUUGACCUUUGCCCACCCAUGGUUUCUUGUCAUUACUAGUUGUUAUGGAUCCAAGCUUGCUUAUGUAUUCACUGUGGAUGGUUUGUUUGGGUCUCUCUAGCUAGCUUCAGUCCGCAUAGAUCAGGGCUUCCCCUGGUUUUCAAGUUUCACGGUGAUGGCUUGUGGAAAAUAAUGCAGCGGCAACACAGAGGAGCCAUUUUCUUUUGUUGUUGGUUUUGCCCUAGCUAGGGUUAGAGAUGGGUUGCCUUUAGGAAGUUGGGUCCUUAUUAUUUUUUGGAUCUUUAAGUGGGUUUUUACUAUGGGCUUCAGCUACCCAUGUAAUGUUUAUAUUUAACAAGCUAGAUUGAACUUUGUAUAUGGAAUUUGAUCAAUUUUUU